UUGGGCGUAAGCGAGCGCAGGCGGUUUCUUAAGUCUGAUGUGAAAGCCCCCGGCUCAACCGGGGAGGGUCAUUGGAAACUGGGAGACUUGAGUGCAGAAGAGGAGAGUGGAAUUCCAUGUGUAGCGGUGAAAUGCGUAGAUAUAUGGAGGAACACCAGUGGCGAAGGCGGCUCUCUGGUCUGUAACUGACGCUGAGGCUCGAAAGCGUGGGGAGCGAACAGGAUUAGAUACCCUGGUAGUCCACGCCGUAAACGAUGAGUGCUAAGUGUUGGAGGGUUUCCGCCCUUCAGUGCUGCAGCAAACGCAUUAAGCACUCCGCCUGGGGAGUACGACCGCAAGGUUGAAACUCAAAGGAAUUGACGGGGGCCCGCACAAGCGGUGGAGCAUGUGGUUUAAUUCGAAGCAACGCGAAGAACCUUACCAGGUCUUGACAUCCUUUGACCACUCUAGAGAUAGAGCUUCCCCUUCGGGGGCAAAGUGACAGGUGGUGCAUGGUUGUCGUCAGCUCGUGUCGUGAGAUGUUGGGUUAAGUCCCGCAACGAGCGCAACCCUUAUUGUUAGUUGCCAUCAUUUAGUUGGGCACUCUAGCGAGACUGCCGGUGACAAACCGGAGGAAGGUGGGGAUGACGUCAAAUCAUCAUGCCCCUUAUGACCUGGGCUACACACGUGCUACAAUGGGAAGUACAACGAGUUGCGAAGUCGCGAGGCUAAGCUAAUCUCUUAAAGCUUCUCUCAGUUCGGAUUGUAGGCUGCAACUCGCCUACAUGAAGCCGGAAUCGCUAGUAAUCGCGGAUCAGCACGCCGCGGUGAAUACGUUCCCGGGCCUUGUACACACCGCCCGUCACACCACGAGAGUUUGUAACACCCGAAGUCGGUGAGGUAACCUUUUUGGAGCCAGCCGCCUAAGGUGGGAUAGAUGAUUGGGGUGAA
rnacentral:rRNA from 1 species